rnacentral:rRNA from 1 species
AAAACAACUCUCGGCAACGGAUAUCUCGGCUCUCGCAUCGAUGAAGAACGUAGCGAAAUGCGAUACUUGGUGUGAAUUGCAGAAUCCCGUGAACCAUCGAGUUUUUGAACGCAAGUUGCGCCCAAAGCCUUCGGGCUAAGGGCACGUCUGCCUGGGUGUCACGC